UACGUAGGUGGCAAGCGUUGUCCGGAUUUACUGGGCGUAAAGAGCGCGCAGGCGGUCGAAUAAGUCGAAUGUGAAAGCCCCCGGCUCAACUGGGGAGGGUCAUUCGAUACUGAUCGACUCGAAGGCAGGAGAGGGUAGUGGAAUUCCCGGUGUAGUGGUGAAAUGCGUAGAUAUCGGGAGGAACACCAGUGGCGAAGGCGACUACCUGGCCUGUUCUUGACGCUGAGGCGCGAAAGCUAGGGGAGCAAACGGG
rnacentral:rRNA from 1 species